AGCUUCUCCGCCGCCGAUCCCCUGGGUUUGAGAGUCCGCCGCUACUGUCGUCCAAUCCAGCCAUCGUUCAUCACCGAACCAACCCCGAAACGUCCCGAAACUAACCCGAAAAGCCCCGCACAACCCCGAAACAGUCCCCCCCGACCGAAAGAAGUAGCCCACUGGAUUUUGCAGAUUCAGUUUCUGUCAAAAUUUUGCAUAACGUUUGAUUUCCGAAAGAAGUGCGAAAUUGUUCUAUGAACGGAGGAAUACAGAUUACCUGUAAUUCAAUUGAUUGAGCUCUCGGUUUCUUGAAUUUUCUUGCUGCUGAAACCGAUCAGAAGAAAGAAAUGGAUUGAAGAUUUAAGAUAUGAGAAAGAUUUAGCAGAGGAGAGUUGGCGGUUUGGAUGUGGGUGGAGGAAAAUAUCUUAGAAUUUUUUUUUAUUAAAAAGAUUUAUUAACUUGGUGACCAAGUUAGACAAAUUUAAUUUUUUUUUUUAGUAAAUAAUUGAUUAUUUAUUUAUUUACUUAUUUAUCUAAUUUGGUGUAGGUAUAUUCGGUUCAAGUUCGUGGCUGUCCGCGUUGAAGUACCCAAUUUUUCUUAGAAAGCAGGAUGUAUUAAAUUUUAUUGGACUCGAAAUAUUCGUUCGAGAAAGAAGCAAUGAUUAUUUAUAAUUCCAAGAUCAAUUAAUAUACAUGAAAAUGGCAGGUUUUGAAUACUACAACGAUCACUUAUUAUUUAUCUUUAGGCUAAUAAUAAUAAUAAGGUACGAAAGUUCGGGUUGUUACAUUCACGCCGCCUCCGGCGAAUUCACCCCACCGUUCGCUCCUCUUCGAUUUGGGGAGCCGCGGUGUUACCAAUGGGAGAAAAAGGCGUCGCCUUUCUCUCUUUCCCUCCUCCUCCGUCUCUCCCGCCGAGGCUCUCGCUCUCGGCGAAUUCGUCGUCUCGACGGCCAUCCACCAUUUCGUCCGUCGCUGGAGUCUAGCGGGGAGUCGUCCUCGCGCCGGACCGCCUCCGCCUCGCGCGCUGCCGCUCCGGCAGCCUCCCGGUCCAGAAGUUAAGUCCCUUCCCUCACUCCCUCUUUCCCCGUUUAAUUUCGAGUUAAGCAUUAGCUUGGUGAUCGUUGAGCAUUUCGUUUGAUCUUAACCAGGGAUUUUAGCUACUAUGUUCUAACUCUUUAAGAUCUCACUGUAUGAGUUCGUUGUGAUGAUUGUUGAGCCCUAUUCGAUCCUAAGCUUCAUUCUGUAAUUUGUUACGAGUCUAGGUUCGAUUCUCUGAUGGCUUAUUCUAUAUGAUGCACGGAGUGUUGUUGUUGAGGGGGUUUACCUUGAUCGAUGAACUCCUUCGGCCUGCCCUUCUCACUGCCGCUGCUCCUCACUCCGUUGCACUCCCUUGCCUUGCGAGAAUUUGGCAGAAUAUGUGUGUGGAGUGGGGAGGGGAGGGCGGUAUUUAUAAGCCAUUCCUUUGGCUUCUUGUGGCAGCUCAUGGGGCAUUGGGCGUUACUACUUUUGGCUUUAAGUUUAGCUCUCUUUUGAUCUUUGUAACUAGGGUGAUCAUGCUAGAUUGAUGUAAGUUCGGGGCUGUCACUCUUGGCUGUUUGUGACUGAGACUUGGGGACAAAGCCUCCUAUUUUGGGGCUGCCAGCUAGCUCCCUUUUGAGUUUGAUGAAUGUGUUCUGCAUGCUAAAUUGGUGAUAAACUUGGCUGCCUCCCUUGGCUGCCAGAUUGACCUCGGUUGAGGGGAUGGGGAAUCUGACCCAUGAUCCCUUUUUGAGCAUAUACCAAGCUCAUUUCACUCGGUCCAUUUGCCUUGGUUCCUACUUUGGUGUAACUGAAUGGUUGACAGAAGGGAGCUGAUCUUGGCUCUAUUUUGCAGCCUACAGGCUGACCUAUGCGGCUCUAUUUCUCCUCAUUUCCUUAUUGAGCUUGUGUCUCCCUCUUCCCUUACUUGUGUCUAAAAUCUAAUACCCCUUUCUGUGUAAACUUUGCAGGUGUAGGCUGCCUUCCUGGAGUCAUAUGGAGGGCUGGAAUUUCGAGAAAAAGAGGAGGGAGACAAGAGAGAAUCCAUUACCUCAUUCCCUUUGUUUUAUUGCUAAACUUAGCCAUUGUUCAAGCAUUAGACUUUGAGUAGCUUUUGACCAAGUCCCAUAUUAGCUACUAGUUUGAUCUUAGUUCAUCUCAUAGCUUAGAGUAGGAUUAGUUGUUUCACUGUGUGGAAAUCGAAGCAUGUAUAAUUUGUAUCUCCAUAUUUUGAAUUUCUAUUUCGUCAAGGUGUAACCACAUUUCUCUAAUAAAAGUAUUUCUUCUACUUUUAUGUUUCAA